rnacentral:rRNA from 1 species
GACGAACGCUGGCGGCGUGCCUAAUACAUGCAAGUCGAACGCAGUGGGGACGGGUGAGUAACACGUGGGUAACCUCCCAUCAGAGGGGAUAACACUUGGAAACAGGUGCUAAACCGAUACUGAUGGAUGGACCCGCGGUGCAUUAGCUAGUUGGUGAGGUAACGGCUCACCAAGGCCACGAGGCAUAGCCGACCGUAGAGGGUGAUAUGCAACACUGGGACUGAGACACGGCCCAGACUCCUACGGGAGGCAGCAGUAGGGAAUCUUCGGCAAUGGACGAAAGUCUGACCGAGCAACGCCGCGGGAGUGAAGAAGGUUUUCGCAUCGUAAAACUCUGUUGUUAAGGAAGCGGGACUUAACCAGAAAGGGACGGCUAACUACGUGCCAGCAGCCGCGGUAAUUC